rnacentral:rRNA from 1 species
GAUGAACGCUGGCGGCGUGCCUAAUACAUGCAAGUCGAGCGAACAGAUGAGGAGCUUGCUCCUCUGACGUUAGCGGCGGACGGGUGAGUAACACGUGGAUAACCUACCUAUAAGACUGGGAUAACUUCGGGAAACCGGAGCUAAUACCGGAUAAUACAUUGAACCGCAUGGUUCAAUAGUGAAAGACGGUUUUGAUGUCACUUAUAGAUGGAUCCGCGCCGCAUUAGCUAGUUGGUAAGGUAACGGCUUACCAAGGCAACGAUGCGUAGCCGACCUGAGAGGGUGAUCGGCCACACUGGAACUGAAACACGGUCCAGACUCCUACGGUAGGCAGCAGUAGGGAAUCUUCCGCAAUGGGCGAAAGCUUGACGGAGCAACGCCGCGUGAGUGAUGAAGGUCUUCGGAUCGUAAAACUCUGUUAUUAGGGAAGAACAAAUGUGUAAGUAACUAUGCACGUCUUGACGGUACCUAAUCAGAAAGCCACGGCUAACUACGUG